rnacentral:lncRNA from 1 species
UCCUAAGGACUUCAUCACAACAUAGGAGUUUGUUAAAAGAUGUAACCUUGUGAUGAAAAAGAUCAAAUAACUUUUAUUAUUUAUCAAUUCAUAUACAUUUGUAAUUAGCAUAAUCAUCAAACUAUUGCUUUACGACACAAUUCUCAAUAGUUAUAUACUUAAUAAAAUUUUAAGUAAGUCUAUAAGUAAAACACCGUAUG